UUUCUACUCCCUUCGUCCGAAAAUACUUGUCGUCAAAAUGGAUAAAAAUAGAUGUAUCUAAAACUAAAAUACGUCUAGAUACAUUUCCUUUUAUCCAUUUUGAUGACAAGUAUUUCCGGACGGAGGGAGUAUUUG
rnacentral:pre_miRNA from 1 species